CUCAGCUCCACUCCAGUAGAAAUAGCCAUGGGUUCCUGACCUGUUCACUGAGGUCUGAGUGAGUGUGCAUCUGCUGGACUUAAGGCCUAAGACUUGAGAUUUUAGAUCUGGCACUUGAGCUUAGCAUGCAGAGGGAAUGUGUGUAAUGAGUCUUUCAUGAUUAAGUGGUUUGCAGUGCUUAGAAGUUAGCAUAGAAUUAUUUGUUUUGAAUCGAUUAUGUCUAUUGCAGUGCCCAGCAUUAAGGAUUGUUAUUUUCUUGAUUAAGAACCUAUAGAGUGAAAUUGUAUUGAGUGAUUUGAAUGAAUAAAGCAUUGAAAAAGGCAUUAGAGCAUGG
rnacentral:lncRNA from 1 species